rnacentral:rRNA from 1 species
GAACGAAGUAGCAUACUUAGUGGCAGACAGGUGAGUAACGCGUAGUCAACCUACCUUUUCGUGGGGGAUAACUAGCCGAAAGGUUAGCUAAUACCGCAUACGAUCGUCGAGUGGCAUCACUUGACGAUGAAAGGAGCAAUCCGCGAAGAGAGGGGACUGCGUCCCAUUAGUUAGUUGGUGGGGUAAUGGCCUACCAAGACUCCGAUGGGUAGCUGGCUUGAGAGAGCGACCAGCCACACUGGAACUGAGACACGGUCCAGACUCCUACGGGAGGCAGCAGUGAGGAAUUUUCCGCAAUGGGGGAAACCCUGACGGAGCGACGCCGCGUGUGGGAAGAAGGCCUUCGGGUCGUAAACCACUGUCGAAGGGGACGAUAUUGACGGUACCCUUGGAGGAAGCCCCGGCUAACUACGUG